UCUCCGUUGGUGAACCAGCGGAGGGAUCAUUAUUGAGUUUUCUAAACUCCCAACCCCCGUGAACUUACCAUUGUUGCCUCGGCAGAAGCUGCUCGGUGCACCCUACCUUGGAACGGCCUACCCUGUAGCGCCUUACCCUGGAACGACUUACCCUGUAACGCCUGCCGGUGGACUACUAAACUCUUGUUAUUUUUAAAGUAAUCUGAGCGUCUUAUUUUAAUAAGUCAAAACUUUCAACAACGGAUCUCUUGGUUCUGGCAUCGAUGAAGAACGCAGC
rnacentral:misc_RNA from 1 species